rnacentral:rRNA from 1 species
UACAGAGGUCCCAAGCGUUGUUCGGAUUCACUGGGCGUAAAGGGCGCGUAGGCGGUCAGCACAAGUCAGUUGUGAAAUCUCCGAGCUUAACUCGGAACGGUCAACUGAUACUGUGCGACUAGAGUGCGGAAGGGGCAACUGGAAUUCUCGGUGUAGCGGUGAAAUGCGUAGAUAUCGAGAGGAACACCUGCGGCGAAGGCGGGUUGCUGGGCCGACACUGACGCUGAUGCGCGAAAGCCAGGGGAGCGAACGGG